GAUGAACGCUAGCGGCAGGCUUAAUACAUGCAAGUCGUGGGGCAGCAUGAGUAGCAACACUUGAUGGCGACCGGCAAACGGGUGAGGAACACGUACACAACCUUCCUUCAAGCGGGGAAUAGCCCAGAGAAAUUUGGAUUAAUACCCCAUAAUAUAUUUGAUAAGGCAUCUUAUUAAUAUUAAAGCUUCGGCACUUGAUGAUGGGUGUGCGGCUGAUUAGAUAGUUGGCGGGGUAACGGCCCACCAAGUCUACGAUCAGUAGCUGAUGUGAGAGCAUGAUCAGCCACACGGGCACUGAGACACGGGCCCGACUCCUACGGGAGGCAGCAGUAAGGAAUAUUGGACAAUGGACGAAAGUCUGAUCCAGCCAUGCCGCGUGAAGGAUUAAGGUCCUCUGGAUUGUAAACUUCUUUUAUAUGGGACGAAAAAGGGCAUUCUUGUUCACUUGACGGUACCAUAUGAAUAAGCACCGGCUAACUCCGUGCCAG
rnacentral:rRNA from 1 species